rnacentral:rRNA from 1 species
CCUACGGGAGGCAGCAGUGGGGAAUAUUGCACAAUGGGGGAGACCCUGAUGCAGCGACGCCGCGUGAGUGAAGAAGUAUUUCGGUAUGUAAAGCUCUAUCAGCAGAGAAGAAAAAAGACGGUACCUGACUAAGAAGCCCCGGCUAACUACGUGCCAGCAGCCGCGGUAAGACGGAGGGGGCAAGCGUUAUCCGGAUUUACUGGGUGUAAAGGGAGCGUAGACGGUAUGGCAAGUCUGAAGUGAAAGCCCAGGGCUUAACCCUGGGACUGCCUUUGAAACUGGUAGACUUGAGUGCUGGAGAGGUAAGUGGAAUUCCUAGUGUAGCGGUGAAAUGCGUAGAUAUUAGGAAGAACCCCAGUGGCGAAGGCAGCUUACUGGACAGUAACUGACGUUGAGGCUCGAAAGCGUGGGGAGCAAACAGGAUUAGAUACCCUGGUAGUC